UCCAAAUAGCCAGCCAUAAUCUUAACAGGUUUAAUGUUAGUCAGUGCUUGGCUGUUAUCUAUCAGAACUGUCCCCCCUUUCCCCUUUGAUUAACUUUUGAAUGCUGAAGUUUUUCAUAAAACUUUGGUCAAUGGAUAUUUACAGGUUUUUUUAAACUGGACUGCAUGACCUAGUGAUUGUUUUAUCCCUUCAGUGAUCUCACCUACUCUAAAAUUUCCAAAAAAUGCCACGCUAUAAGCAGCUGCAAAUAAUUUUGCUUUAUCGUUAUCAGUACAUACAAUUGGUAAUACUUUCAAAAUGUUUCGCAAGAUUUUUGUUGUUAUUGGUAAUCUAAUAUCCUUGGUCUUAGAUUUUCUUCUAUAACCUUCUAUUAACUUUUUGACUAUGAAGUUUUGAGUUACAUCUGUGUAAUUGUUUAACGUAAAAGAUAAUAUGCGAUUCCUGACAUAUAAGUCCUUGCUAUUGAUUCCCCCCAAACCCUUCACUGACAUGUAGCCUAUGAAUUGUACAAUUUGCUCCAAUGGAGGAGGACAAAGCUUUUCCAGGAUGAAAUCAACUCAAAAUUCAUCAAAAGAAGUCAACGCUUGUUUGCGAAGAUAACGAACAGUGACCAACCCCACAACCCCCACAAGCAAUACAAAAUAGGCAGUUGGGCAAACACGGACCCCUGGACACACCAGAGGUGGGAUCAGGUGCCUAGGAGGAGCAAGCAUCCCCUGUCGACCGAAUGCUUUUUUUCAAUUGACACAAAGGAAAGUAACAAUUACUAAUACUGGAUGGUGUUGUAUUUGAGAGCAAUGUGUUGAGAAUUAUGUACACAUAAAAAUGAAAAGAACCAUUGUUUAUAAAAUUUGAUCGUAACUAUUUCGCAUUUACCUUAACAUCAAUGUUAUCUUCAUUUACUCGUUUUCUACAUUUCUGAAUAUAUGUCUCCUUAGAUAAUCUAUGGGUAAAUGUGUCUAUACAAAACUAAGAAUUGUAAAAUGCAAAAGACAUUUCGAAAGGCAUAAGUACGUAACCAUUUUUCUUAUGGAAAUUAAUUGAUGUCUCGUUUUUCUGUUCAACGCAAGCAAACACUAAAUGACCAUCUUUAACUAGUUUUCCAGCGAGUGUCCUCGUGACAACGCUUCCUAAAUUUGCUCUCCUAUAUUCAGGUUCCACGUACAACAUCCCAAUCCCGCCAUAUUCUUGUUGAAGUUGCCAGGCGACAAGUCGACCAUCCUCGGUCUCGAUACCGACGGUGUGGAAAUUAGAGAUAUGAUACCUCAUCCAACACCCUAGGUCUCCAUAUUGGUCAUAUUCGCCUUUCGGAUCCCACGACUUGCAAACAUUCUCUACAUGAGAUUGCGAUUGAUUUAAUAGAGAUAUUUUGAAUCCAUCUGGAAUUUCUCUGAAAACAACGAGCAUCCAUUGAUAACAAUCACCUUAUCAUGAUAACUCCAAAUACGGGGCAUCAUAUCCAAAAGUGAAAAAUUGGCUCAUUGUCCGGUAAUCAAUAAGUAAAUUGUCAAAUAAAAUAUGUUAUAUAUAU